GGGCCGUUAGCUCAGCAUGGUAGAGCAGCCGGCUUUUAACCGGAGUGUCGGGGGUUCGAAUCCCUCACGGCCCA
rnacentral:tRNA from 1 species